rnacentral:tRNA from 1 species
UCCCUCGUAGCUCAGAUGGUAAAGAAUCUGCCUGCAAUGCAGAAGACCCAGGUUUGAUUCCUGGGUUGGGAA